rnacentral:rRNA from 1 species
AUUGAACGCUGGCGGCAGGCCUAACACAUGCAAGUCGAACGGUAACAGGGAUCAGCUUGCUGAUUCGCUGACGAGUGGCGGACGGGUGAGUAAUGUCUGGGAAACUGCCUGAUGGAGGGGGAUAACUACUGGAAACGGUAGCUAAUACCGCAUAACGUCGCAAGACCAAAGAGGGGGACCUUCGGGCCUCUUUCCAUCGGAUUUGCCCAGAUGGGAUUAGCUAGUAGGUGGGGUAACGGCUCACCUAGGCGACGAUCCCUAGCUGGUCUGAGAGGAUGACCAGCCACACUGGAACUGAGACACGGUCCAGACUCCUACGGGAGGCAGCAGUGGGGAAUAUUGCACAAUGGGCGCAAGCCUGAUGCGGCCAUGCCGCGUGUAUGAAGAAGGCCUUCGGGUUGUAAAGUACUUUCAGCGGGGAGGAAGGGAGUAAAGUUAAUACCUUUGCUCAUUGACGUUACCCGCAGAAGAAGCACCGGCUAACUCCGUG